UAUCAUAGUAUGUUCCCUACAUUUCCCCGAAAGUGCUUUCAAUAGAACAAUGGAUGUGAUUAGUCUGCACGAUGAUGCUAUACCAGUAUGUUUGCCGCUGCAUUCACACAGGGUACCGGUUGAGCCUCAAAUCCCGAACUCAAAAAUGAAUAGAGUGAAUCCGAGUGCAUCACAGGCUGCACGAAAUAGUUUAGUUCUAUAAUUUUCUCUGUUAUUAAGUAAUUAUUGUUUUUUUUUUUCUAUUACCUACUGUAUAUUGUGUUGUUCAUCGUAAUAAAAAACUAUUAUAUACCUA